GCCUUAUCUAUUUAUCUGGUGUAGGUUAUAAAGCUAUAAUAGACAUAGAUCAGUCGAAUUUCCUAAAUUACUGUUUGGCUCUAAUAUACUGGCUAGCAAAACUAGCUAUCAUUACAAGCCUCUACCAGGUUAGUGAAGCAGGAAAUGAAACCUCUCAAAAGCACAGCCAACAAGAUGUGAUGCUACAGUAGUCUCUAUGUUAACUGUGUUGCAUGACUUAAACCAUAAAGCACCUUUUUCUAAUAUUUCUUGUGUUUUCCUUACAGAUCCAGCAAAAUCUCACGCCAAUAAUGAGGGUUAUGUGACUCUUAUCUUUUCUAUUGGGCUUGCCAUUGGCAUUAUCAUCAUCAUCAUCAUCAUUUCUGUGACAGUGUGGUACUGUCUAAAGAAAAGAAAAAAUCACAGCCCAACCUCUGACUCAGAAUCCAACAGAUGAUGCUCCAAACUCCACCUACUGCAUGGUCGGCCCUCACACUGGACCUGGAGGAUCCAAGGAGACCAGAUCCCCGGUUCAGCCAGAGAGUCUGUAUGCUCAGGUUGACAGAUCUGUUAAAAAAAAUAAUCAGGAUUUCCACUUGCAAUGUAUAUCUGACCUGUUCUGCUACGAAAAGACUGUUAACUAAAAGAAAAGACUGGAAUCUAAACAUCAAACACACGCAGGAUUAGAUUUUUGUAUCAUCACAUUUUGAACCAUUACGUCCAAAAAAAAAGUCAAACGCCACAAAAAUACAUUUUAGUAUGUUAUUUCUGUGCUAUAUCUUGGGACAUUGUUUACAAUAAAUCUAUUAAUACUACAAUGAAGAUCAACAGCUUGGGUAUGUUGGGUUGACUCUCCAUCUCACUUUUUCACUUGUCUGGAUGUUUUCAUUACAGUCCAGUUAUAAAUAUGCAAUUCAGAAGAAACUCACUGCAGUGACCAUUAUCUCAGUGUGAUGUAAAAGCUUCAGUUGCCAUGAAUAUUGUAUCUGAGCAUGAUGAACAAAAUGAUGCCACAUUGUUCUAGGAGCAAUGAUUUACAGUAUGGAAGUGUGAAUUUCACACAUAGUUGUUGGGAUGAGAAGCUAUGCACUUCAGCACUCUGAUACAACACAGAUUAUUAAAAAGAUGGUA